GACUCGCGAGGCCGCGCGUCCCCCUUGCCAGGCCCCGCCUGGGCCUCUCCGCUCCACUGCCCUCCAAGGCCCUCCUGGCCCAGCCGUGAUUAUGCCGAAGAGUAGGGCUGCACGAGCUCAGGGCCCGGCACUUACUCGGGAAGUGUGACUACAUACCACUCUGAGGCUCCAAGUGAGAUACUGGAAAGACCGUGGAUUUGCAAGCUGACAAUUGAAUGCUGGCUCUAUUGGGGUGGCAUCUUCUGAUCACUCAUGUCAUCAAUUGCUAGAAAAAUGAGAACUCUCCAGAAGAUCAAGUACUGUGCAGUAGUUACCAUGCACAGGCCCCAUUGAGGCCUGGCCUUUGAAGUGCCUUGUUCACCAACCUUAAAGGAAGGUCCCAUGUAACACAGUUUGGAUUAGACAUUACAAAUGGCUUCCAGUUGUAUGGAUUGCUUUCCAGACUUUGUUGUGGGAGCCACCUGAUGAGGAGGGCCGAGUGCAAGUGCAUAAGCAGCUUCCGAUCAGAACUUCUGCAUGGGCUUGGCCCAGGUAUCUUGAAACUCCAGAAAGUCCUAAAUAUAAACAAUCAGCAGUGGGAGUGAAGAGGCCAGUGUGAUGCUGUGAGGAUGACCCUCCGCACGGGAAAGGAACUCGGCAACAAGCAGAACAGGUGCCUCAUCAUCGUCCCAUCACUGGGAUCGCUUCAGGAGCAUGGAGUUGGUGAAGGGAGCCACUGCCUCCAGAAGAAAAUGUGUCACUCCAAAGAAAGAUUAGAGAAGGGGAAAGUGACCCCUGAAUAAGAAGAGUCUAUUCAUCUAAAGACCCUCUCCCAGGAACUCUUGGCAGGGAGAGAGUUGGCUUUCCUGCUGCGCCAGUGAUUGGUAGGCUAUACCUCUGUCCAUGGUCCUAUUCCUCUCCCUCAAACGACUUUAGAAGAACUCAGAGGGAGGUUCCAAUUUGCCUUGUAGGAAGGCAUUGAAGUGUUGUAGGUAGAGCUGGGAAGCUGAGAGAAGAGGAAAUACUGUGGGUACAGCAGGUCUUGAGUAUUUGGAAAGAAGUUCUGACUGUCUUCAGUAGAUGCUACCAGCAGAGGGAAUCCUGCUGGACAGCCAUUCUUUGUAAUAAUCAUGAAAAUCAUCUGUCAGAGGAACGAGCUCCAUUUACACUGAAGUCUGCUUGGUAAGAAUGAUACUGUCAUCUGCCUAGCAUUUUAUGUUUUUAAUGAAAGGCUAUCUUAUUCUUGAUAAUUUUCAUAAUUUCUUUCCAACUCCUGUAACACCAGGUGAUAUGCACCUCUUGCUUUCACAGAGAUGAGGAGAGACUAGAAAAUCUUCUCCAAAGACCUAGAUUCUUUCUAUUAACCAUUUUUUUUUUCACCUGAGCCUCUAGGGAUAAAUAAACAGUGAGAGUAACUCAACUGAGAAAGAUAUGUUAUGGGCAUCCCACAGUAAUCACCUAUCUUUUAAAAAGAAACAACAUUUCUUGAUAUCCCAGAGGUGUCUGGCACUACACAAAGUGAUACGAGCAUGAGAUUGCAGAACAUAAUGUUUGGGAACAUAGUGUUCCCCUGGGGAUUUAAAAAUUAAUGCAGAUCCAAAACCAUUAAAAAAUACAGAGGUUGGUUGUAAUAAAUUAUAGGAAAAUAAAGUGAAAAAAGUGUGGGGGCAAAAGUCCCAAGCACAAUGAUAAACCAGGGAACGUGAAAGCAGAAUAUGAUGAAGCCAAUUAAGCUCGGGAGAACCCAGACUUGCAGUAUGGGCAGAAUACAAGAUACCCUGUGAAGUCAAUUCUGCAGACUCGGUUACUUAUCCAUACACCAACCAAAAAUAAAUACCUGUUUCUGAUGGGCUACUGGCAAAAAUUUUUUUACUGUUGUUUUCUAUAGAUGGAGUCCAAACCAUCCAGCGUACAAUAAAGUGUUUAGAAAAAAAAAUAUGGAGUUGGCCAACUUUUAAUCUCCAGAACUAGAAAUCUAGUUCUGGAUGGUAGCUGUAAUGGAAAUAGGUGCAAUUGGGUUUGUAGAUGCUGAUUUUUAUCACUAACCAGAAACUGUUAUGAAAGCUCAAUGUGGCCUACUUUAUAUUCCCUGGGUUAGUGAAUGGGGAAAUUUUCAUUAGACUAUUUGUUAUAUUCAGAGGAGGACAUAAAGAAAUACAUGAACACUGUGAUACAUAGGUAAAAAAGUAUCAAUAGAAAUACAUACUCUAGGAGUUCCCGUUGUGGCUCAGGGGUUAAUGAAUCUGACUAGGAACCAUGAGGUUUUGGGUUUGAUCCCUGGCCUCAUUCAGUGGGUUAAGGAUCUGGCAUUGCUGUGAGCUGUGGUGUAGGUUGCAGAUGUGGCUCGGAUCCCACAUUGCUGUGGCUGUGGUGAAGGCUGGUGGCUACAGCUCCAAAUGGACCCCUAGCCCGGGAAUCUCCAUAUGCUGGGGGUGCAGCCCUAAAAGACAAAAAAAGGCAAAAAAAAAAAAAUACAUACUCUAGUCUAGGACAGUGUUUCUCCACCAAGGUGAUGGAAAGUACUUGGAAAUGCAGGGACCUAACUGGUUCUCAAACUGAGCUUCCUCCAUCACUGUAGCUUUCCUGCUUUAACAACUUCAGCCUUGCUAACUUAUCAAUGCUAAGAGAGUCAGUUUUAUACAUUGAUGGUCAGCUUCUGAUUUGAGUUCCCACGUGGUCAUUGCAACUUCAUUCACUUUUAUACAUAUCCUUUCACGUUUUCUAGUGUUAUAAGUAAUAUGAAAAGAUAAAAAUAUCGAGAAAAGACUAUCCCUUGUGGAAGGCAAAAAAUUGCACAGUCCAUUCACAUGGAUAUCCAAUAGACAACUCAAACUGAACAUGGCCAAAAGAGAACUCAGCUUUUUCCACUUAACCUUGUAUCAAUAACAAGAGGCUUAAACAAAUAAAGUUUUACUUUUCUCAUGAACAAGAUGUCUGGCAAUAGAGGAUUGCUGGUGUCAGUUUAGUUGCUCAGCUAUUACCAUCAAGAACCCAGGCAAUUUCAAUUUUUUUUUCAUGCAUCAUCAUCCUUAACAUCAUCAGAUCUUUUGUACUCAUAAGGAGUCUGCCAUGACUCCAGGCAUUGUGACGGUGUUCACUAAAGCCAUAUCUAUCCCCAGAAGGUUUUCACUUAGGUCUCAUUAGCCAGAAAUGAAUCACCCCUAGCUGCAAAGAAGAUGGGGAAAUUGAAUAUCUAGCAGAAGAGAAUGGGAUUAUUACGAUUGAAUUACACCACUCAUGAUUCAUCACUCUAGGCUGGACAUAUUGUUAUCCUCAACAAAGUCAGGGCUGUGUUAGCAAAGAUCAAGAGAGGAAUGGCUACCGGGGAGGGAAUUAACCCAGUCUGCCACACUUCUUAUUCCCAGCCUACCUGUCUCACAAAUAGCAUCACUAUCUACCUAAUGCCCAAACCAAUAAAAGAGGAGAUAACUUUGACUCCUUUCUUUCUUUUAGGUCCCAAAUACACACCACUAGAAAGUACUUUUGACUCUAUCUCCAAUAUAUAACCCCAAUUUAUUCUUCCCUUCUUCACUGCUAACAUCCUAGUCCAGGUCACCACUGUUCACCUGAAUCACUGUAGUUGCCUCCUGAAGAUUUCUGUACCUUCAUUCUUGCCCUCUACAUUUCAUUGCCCAGAUAGAAAAUCAUUUCCUUGCUUACAACUGCCUCACACCUAAAAUCCAAAUUCCUUCCUGCAACCUUCCAUGCCUAAAAAAUCUAGGCUCUGUCUACCUGUUCAGCUUCAUCUUUGACAACUUCAUCUAUCAAACCUUUUAUGUUUGCCACUGAGUUCCAGCCCUCCAGGCUUUCUUUCUCUUCUUCAUACUCAAAUGUGUUACCAUCUUGGGAACUUUUGAACCAUCUGUUCUCUCCAUGUAGGAUGCUCUUCAUUCUGAUCUUUCCAUGACCAGCGCCUCCUUGACAUUUAGAUCUCUGUGCAAAUGUCUUCUCUUCAGAGAGGUCUUCCCUGGAUAUACAAACUAAAAUAGCCACCUGGUCCUCCAUCACUUCGUCCUAUUUUGGAUUUCAUUUUUUUUAUUAGAGUAUAGUUGAUUUACAAUUUUGUGUCAAUUUCUACUGUAUGUCAAAAUGACCCAGUCAUACAUGUAUACAUAUGCAUUCUUUUUCUCAUUCCAUUUUCAUUAUGUUCUACCCCAAGAGGUUGGACAUAGUUCCCUGUGCUGUACACCCCAUUGCUUAUUCAUUCUAAGUGUAAUAGUUUGCAUCUACUACAACCCCAAAUUCCCUGUACAUCUUAUUCUCCCCCUCCCCCGCCCCACCCCGGCAUCCACAAGUGUUCUCCCUGUCCGUGGUCUCUUCUGUUUUGUAGAUAGGAUCAUUUGUGCCAUAUCUUAUUUAUUCACUUUUUGUCUUUUUUUUUUUUUUUUUUUUUUUUUUUUUGUCUUUUCAGGGCCGCACCCGCAGCAUACGGAGGUUCCCAGGCUAGGGAUCUAAUCGGAGCUAUAGCUGCCGGCCUACAUCACAGCCUCAGCAACGCCAGAUCCGAGCCUUGUCUGUGACCUACACCACAGCUCACAGCAAUGCUGGAUCCUUAACCCACUGAGCGAGGCCAGGGAUCGAAUACACAACCUCAUCAUUCCUAGUCAGAUUCGUUUCCCCUGCACCAUGACAGGAACUCCUGUGCCAUGUUUUAGGUCCCACAUGUAAGUGAUAUCAUGUGGUAUUUGUCCUUCUCUUUCUGACUUACUUCACUCAGUAUGGGACUCUCUAGCUGCAUCCAUGUUACUGAAAACGGCAUUAUUUUUUCCUUUUUUUGGCUGAGUAAUAUUCCAUUGUAUAUAUGUACUUCAUCUUAUUUUGUUUCUCCGUAAUGUACUGAUCACUGUCCAACAUUAUCUUGUUUAUCUCUUCAUGUAUCAUGUCGUGAAAUGCAGCGGUUUCUUUAUUUUCCAACUCCUCCACAUUAGCAUAUAAGCUUCAUGAGAGCAGAAACCUUGUCUGCUGUGAUCACUGCUAUAUCCUAGCACCUAGAUCAAGGCACAUGGUAGACUCUCAUUGACUAUUUAUGAAUGAAUGAAUAAAUGAGGGGAGAGAUUUUGAAAUGGAAACUUUAGCAAUAAAAAUAACAUCUGUAACAU
rnacentral:lncRNA from 1 species